AAGGUAGGGUGGCCGAGCAGGCGGCGAGCUGUAGCCUCGUUUACGGGGGGCGGCCCCCUCCCCCCCAAA
rnacentral:tRNA from 1 species